GGGUUGUGAGGUUAAGCGACUAAGCGUACACGGUGGAUGCCCUGGCAGUCAGAGGCGAUGAAGGGCGUGCUAAUCUGCGAUAAGCGCCGGUAAGGUGAUAUGAACCGUUAUAACCGGCGAUACCCGAAUGGGGAAACCCAGUGUGAUUCGUCACACUAUCAUUAACUGAAUCCAUAGGUUAAUGAGGCGAACCGGGGAACUGAAACAUCUAAGUACCCCGAGGAAAAGAAAUCAACCGAGAUUCCCCCAGUAGCGGCGAGCGAACGGGGAGGAGCCCAGAGCCUGAAUCAGCAUGUGUGUUAGUGGAAGCGUCUGGAAAGGCGCGCGAUACAGGGUGACAGCCCCGUACACAAAAGCGCAUGUGCUGUGAGCUCGAUGAGUAGGGCGGGACACGUGGUAUCCUGUCUGAAUAUGGGGGACCAUCCUCCAAGGCUAAAUACUCCUGACUGACCGAUAGUGAACCAGUACCGUGAGGGAAAGGCGAAAAGAACCCCGGCGAGGGGAGUGAAAAAGAACCUGAAACCGUGUACGUACAAGCAGUGGGAGCACAGGUUUACCUGUGUGACUGCGUACCUUUUGUAUAAUGGGUCAGCGACUUAUAUUCUGUAGCAAGGUUAACCGAAUAGGGGAGCCGGAGGGAAACCGAGUCUUAAUUGGGCGUUAAGUUGCAGGGUAUAGACCCGAAACCCGGUGAUCUAGCCAUGGGCAGGUUGAAGGUUGGGUAACACUAACUGGAGGACCGAACCGACUAAUGUUGAAAAAUUAGCGGAUGACCUGUGGCUGGGGGUGAAAGGCCAAUCAAACCGGGAGAUAGCUGGUUCUCCCCGAAAGCUAUUUAGGUAGCGCCUCGUGAAUUCAUCUCCGGGGGUAGAGCACUGUUUCGGCUAGGGGGCCAUCCCGGCUUACCAACCCGAUGCAAACUGCGAAUACCGGAGAAUGUUAUCACGGGAGACACACGGCGGGUGCUAACGUCCGUCGUGAAGAGGGAAACAACCCAGACCGCCAGCUAAGGUCCCAAAGUCAUGGUUAAGUGGGAAACGAUGUGGGAAGGCCCAGACAGCCAGGAUGUUGGCUUAGAAGCAGCCAUCAUUUAAAGAAAGCGUAAUAGCUCACUGGUCGAGUCGGCCUGCGCGGAAGAUGUAACGGGGCUAAACCAUGCACCGAAGCUGCGGCAGCGAACGUAUCACCCAAGACAACUUUACGGAGUUGACGAUUGACGGAGCGAAGCGACGUCAAAGCGUUCAUUAAAGUCGAGUUGGCUUAGGGAUACGUUCGUUGGGUAGGGGAGCGUUCUGUAAGCCUGUGAAGGUGUGUCGUGAGGCAUGCUGGAGGUAUCAGAAGUGCGAAUGCUGACAUAAGUAACGAUAAAGCGGGUGAAAAGCCCGCUCGCCGGAAGACCAAGGGUUCCUGUCCAACGUUAAUCGGGGCAGGGUGAGUCGACCCCUAAGGCGAGGCCGAAAGGCGUAGUCGAUGGGAAACGGGUUAAUAUUCCCGUACUUGGUGUUACUGCGAAGGGGGGACGGAGAAGGCUAUGUUGGCCGGGCGACGGUUGUCCCGGUUUAAGCGUGUAGGUGUGUGUUCCAGGUAAAUCCGGUUCACUUUAACACUGAGGCGUGACGACGAGGCACUACGGUGCUGAAGCAACAAAUGCCCUGCUUCCAGGAAAAGCCUCUAAGCAUCAGGUAACACGAAAUCGUACCCCAAACCGACACAGGUGGUCAGGUAGAGAAUACCAAGGCGCUUGAGAGAACUCGGGUGAAGGAACUAGGCAAAAUGGUGCCGUAACUUCGGGAGAAGGCACGCUGACACGUAGGUGAAGUGAUUUACUCAUGGAGCUGAAGUCAGUCGAAGAUACCAGCUGGCUGCAACUGUUUAUUAAAAACACAGCACUGUGCAAACACGAAAGUGGACGUAUACGGUGUGACGCCUGCCCGGUGCCGGAAGGUUAAUUGAUGGGGUCAGCGUAAGCGAAGCUCCUGAUCGAAGCCCCGGUAAACGGCGGCCGUAACUAUAACGGUCCUAAGGUAGCGAAAUUCCUUGUCGGGUAAGUUCCGACCUGCACGAAUGGCGUAAUGAUGGCCAGGCUGUCUCCACCCGAGACUCAGUGAAAUUGAACUCGCUGUGAAGAUGCAGUGUACCCGCGGCAAGACGGAAAGACCCCGUGAACCUUUACUAUAGCUUGACACUGAACAUUGAGCCUUGAUGUGUAGGAUAGGUGGGAGGCUUUGAAGUGUGGACGCCAGUCUGCAUGGAGCCGACCUUGAAAUACCACCCUUUAAUGUUUGAUGUUCUAACGUGGACCCGUAAUCCGGGUUGCGGACAGUGUCUGGUGGGUAGUUUGACUGGGGCGGUCUCCUCCUAAAGAGUAACGGAGGAGCACGAAGGUUGGCUAAUCCUGGUCGGACAUCAGGAGGUUAGUGCAAUGGCAUAAGCCAGCUUGACUGCGAGCGUGACGGCGCGAGCAGGUGCGAAAGCAGGUCAUAGUGAUCCGGUGGUUCUGAAUGGAAGGGCCAUCGCUCAACGGAUAAAAGGUACUCCGGGGAUAACAGGCUGAUACCGCCCAAGAGUUCAUAUCGACGGCGGUGUUUGGCACCUCGAUGUCGGCUCAUCACAUCCUGGGGCUGAAGUAGGUCCCAAGGGUAUGGCUGUUCGCCAUUUAAAGUGGUACGCGAGCUGGGUUUAGAACGUCGUGAGACAGUUCGGUCCCUAUCUGCCGUGGGCGCUGGAGAACUGAGGGGGGCUGCUCCUAGUACGAGAGGACCGGAGUGGACGCAUCACUGGUGUUCGGGUUGUCAUGCCAAUGGCACUGCCCGGUAGCUAAAUGCGGAAGAGAUAAGUGCUGAAAGCAUCUAAGCACGAAACUUGCCCCGAGAUGAGUUCUCCCUGAGACUUAGAGUCUCCUGAAGGAACGUUGAAGACGACGACGUUGAUAGGCCGGGUGUGUAAGCGCAGCGAUGCGUUGAGCUAACCGGUACUAAUGAACCGUGAGGCUUAACCUUACAACGCCGAAG
rnacentral:rRNA from 1 species